rnacentral:rRNA from 1 species
UACAGAGGUCUCAAGCGUUGUUCGGAUUCAUUGGGCGUAAAGGGUGCGUAGGCGGCGCGGUAAGUCGGGUGUGAAAUCUCGGGGCUUAACUCCGAAACUGCAUUCGAUACUGCCGUGCUUGAGGACUGGAGAGGAGACUGGAAUUUACGGUGUAGCAGUGAAAUGCGUAGAGAUCGUAAGGAAGACCAGUGGCGAAGGCGGGUCUCUGGACAGUUCCUGACACUGAGGCACGAAGGCCAGGGGAGCAAACAGG